rnacentral:sRNA from 1 species
GAUGCCAGGGUGCUAAGGUCUAAGACCACUUGAGCUCGCUCAUAAGUGGGCGAAAGACUUUAGCACCCGCCCCGAUAUGAGCAUAAAAGUGGGAUACAUCCCACGAUAUGCGAAUAUAGGGCAGGAUUGUGGGAGUGCGUAGCACGAAACAAUCCGCAGGCAU